CAUAACCAUCUGUUUGUCCCUGCUGACCUGACUCUGUACUUGUCGGCUCAUCAUAGAAUGACUGACGCACAAAAGGCCGAUGUCAUCGAGUAUGCUGUCGGUGGACUUCGAACACAUCAGAUUAUGAAUGUAAUGGAGAAGAAUGCCGGAGGUCCCGACAAGCUUGGAUUUAUAGAUCGAGAUCUAUACAACCAUGUUUCAGUCCAGAAGAAGCGCAAGAUAGAAGGCAGUGAUGCUAGAUAUUUGCUCACCUAUAUGAUUGCACAGAAAAAAGCAGACCCGGAAUUCUUUUUCAAAUACACAAAAGAUAGCGAAGGCCAUUUGAGGAACAUAUUCUGGGCUGACUCACAAUCCCGCAUUGACUAUGUUGCCUUUGGUGGUGUCGUGGUGUUCGACAGUACAUAUCGGUCUAACAAGUACAGGCUUCCGUUUAUUCCAUUUGUUGGUCUGAACCAUCACCGCAGCACAGUUUUGUUUGGGGUCGGUCUAGUGUCAGACGAGACAGUUGCAUCAUACCAGUGGCUUCUUCAUGUAUUUUUGGAGGCAAUGUCCCAGACGACACCAAUUUCAGCAAUCACUGAUGGGGACGGUGCAAUGGCUAAAGCAAUAGCUACUGUGUGGACCGGAACAGAUCAUCGUUUGUGCACGUGGCAUAUCGAG
rnacentral:rRNA from 1 species